rnacentral:rRNA from 1 species
AGAGUUUGAUCCUGGCUCAGAUUGAACGCUGGCGGCAUGCCUUACACAUGCAAGUCGAACGGUAACUCGGGGCAACCUGGCGACGAGUGGCGAACUGGUGAGUAAUAUAUCGGAACGUGCCCAGUAGUGGGGGAUAGCC